rnacentral:misc_RNA from 1 species
UCUCCGUUGGUGAACCAGCGGAGGGAUCAUUACAGAGUUUUAUACUCCCAAACCCAUGUGAACUUACCAGUGUUGCCUCGGCGGGUUUCCGACUUCCAAAAGGAAGACGGGUAGCCACCCGCCGAUGGUUAUUACUAAAUUCUUGAAUUACUUUGUAAUCUGAAUAUUACUUUUAAAAUAAGUUAAAACUUUCAACAACGGAUCUCUUGGUUCUGGCAUCGAUGAAGAACGCAGC